AUUGAACGCUGGCGGCAUGCUUUACACAUGCAAGUCGAACGGUAACAGGGUGCUUGCACCGCUGACGAGUGGCGAACGGGUGAGUAAUGCAUCGGAAUGUACCGUGUAAUGGGGGAUAGCUCGGCGAAAGCCGGAUUAAUACCGCAUACGCCCUGAGGGGGAAAGUGGGGGACCGAAAGGCCUCACGUUAUACGAGCAGCCGAUGUCUGAUUAGCUAGUUGGUGAGGUAAAGGCUCACCAAGGCGUCGAUCAGCAGCGGGUCUGAGAGGAUGAUCCGCCACACUGGGACUGAGACACGGCCCAGACUCCUACGGGAGGCAGCAGUGGGGAAUUUUGGACAAUGGGCGCAAGCCUGAUCCAGCCAUGCCGCGUGUCUGAAGAAGGCCUUCGGGUUGUAAAGGACUUUUGUCCGGGAGCAAAUCCUAGUGGUUAAUACCUACUGGGGCUGAGAGUACCGGAAGAAUAAGCACCGGCUAACUACGUG
rnacentral:rRNA from 1 species